GACGAACGCUGGCGGCGUGCUUAACACAUGCAAGUCGAACGGAAAGGCCCCCUUGUGGGGUACUCGAGUGGCGAACGGGUGAGUAACACGUGAGUAACCUACCCUUGACUUUGGGAUAACUUCAGGAAACUGGGGCUAAUACCGGAUAGGAGCUCCUGCUGCAUGGUGGGGGUUGGAAAGUUUCGGCGGUUGGGGAUGGACUCGCGGCUUAUCAGCUUGUUGGUGGGGUAGUGGCUCACCAAGGCUUUGACGGGUAGCCGGCCUGAGAGGGUGACCGGCCACAUUGGGACUGAGAUACGGCCCAGACUCCUACGGGAGGCAGCAGUGGGGAAUAUUGCACAAUGGGCGGAAGCCUGAUGCAGCAACGCCGCGUGCGGGAUGACGGCCUUCGGGUUGUAAACCGCUUUCGCCUGUGACGAAGCGUGAGUGACGGUAAUGGGUAAAGAAGCACCGGCCAACUACGUG
rnacentral:rRNA from 1 species